rnacentral:rRNA from 1 species
UACGAAGGGGGCUAGCGUUGUUCGGAAUUACUGGGCGUAAAGGGCUCGUAGGCGGCCAACUAAGUCGGACGUGAAAUCCCUCGGCUUAACCGGGGAACUGCGUCCGAUACUGGAUGGCUUGAGUUCGGGAGAGGGAUGCGGAAUUCCAGGUGUAGCGGUGAAAUGCGUAGAUAUCUGGAGGAACACCGGUGGCGAAGGCGGCAUCCUGGACCGAUACUGACGCUGAUGAGCGAAAGCCAGGGGAGCAAACGGG